CUUGCUCUUCAAAUCGAGUGGCGAACGGGUGAGUAACGCGUGAGGAACCUGCCUUUCAGUGGGGGACGAACAGUUGGAAACGACUGCUAAUACCGCAUAAUGCUUUUGUAGCGGCAUCGCUUGAAAGCCAAAGAUUUAUUGCUGAAAGAUGGCCUCGCGUCUGAUUAGCUAGUUGGUGAGGUAACGGCCCACCAAGGCGACGAUCAGUAGCCGGUCUGAGAGGAUGAACGGCCACAUUGGGACUGAGAUACGGCCCAGACUCC
rnacentral:rRNA from 1 species